rnacentral:rRNA from 1 species
UACGUAGGUGGCAAGCGAUACUCGGAAUCACUAGGCGUAAAGCGCAGGUAGGCGGUUUGGUAAGUCUUUUGUGAAAGCUCCCGGCUCAACUGGGAGAGGUCAAGGGAAACUACCGGACUUGAGUGUGGUAGGGGAUACUGGAAUUCCUGGUGUAGCGGUGAAAUGCGUAGAUAUCAGGAGGAAUACCUAUGGCGAAAGCAGGUAUCUGGGCCAUCACUGACGCUGAGCUGCGAAAGCGUGGGGAGCAAACAGG